AUUGAACGCUGGCGGCAGGCCUAACACAUGCAAGUCGAACGAGUGGCGGACGGGUGAGUAAUGUCUGGGAAACUGCCUGAUGGAGGGGGAUAACUACUGGAAACGGUAGCUAAUACCGCAUACCAUCGGAUGUGCCCAGAUGGGUUUCGCUUGUAGGUGGGGUAAAGGCUCACCUAGGCGACGAUCCCUAGCUGGUGUGAGAGGAUGACCAGCAACACUGGAACUGAGACACGGUCCAGACUCCUACGGGAGGCAGAAGUGGGGAAUAUUGGACAAGGGGCGCAAGCCGGAUGCAGACAUGCCGCGUGUAUGAAGAAGGCCUUCGGGUUGUAAAGUACUUUCAGCGGGGAGGCGUUACCCACAGAAGAAGCACCGGCUAACUCCGUGCCAGCAGCCGCGGUAAUAC
rnacentral:rRNA from 1 species